rnacentral:rRNA from 1 species
GCAUAUCAAUAAGCGGAGGAAAAGAAACCAACAGGGGAUUGCCCCCAGUAACGGCGAAGUGAAGCGGCAAGAAGCUCAAAUUUGAAAUCUGGCUCCUUUCGGGGUCCGAAGUUGUAAUUUGCAGAAGGAUGCUUCGGGUGCGGUCCCCGUCUAAGUGCCCUGGAACGGGCCGUCAUAGAGGGUGAGAAUCCCGUCUGGGACGGGUGGCCGUGCCCGUGUGAAGCUCCUUCGACGAGUCGAGUUGUUUGGGAAUGCAGCUCUAAAUGGGUGGUAAAUUUCAUCUAAAGCUAAAUAUUGGCCGGAGACCGAUAGCGCACAAGUAGAGUGAUCGAAAGAUGAAAAGCACUUUGAAAAGAGAGUUAAACAGCACGUGAAAUUGUUGAAAGGGAAGCGCUUGCGACCAGACUCGCCCGCGGGGGUUCAGCCGGCACUCGUGCCGGUGCACUCCCCCGUGGGCGGGCCAGCGUCGGUUUGGGCGGCCGGUCAAAGGCCCCCGGAAUGUGUCGCCUCUCGGGGCGUCUUAUAGCCGGGGGUGCAAUGCGGCCAGCCUGGACCGAGGAACGCGCUUCGGCACGGACGCUGGCGUAAUGGUCGUAAGCGGCCCGUCUUGAAACACGGACCAAGGAGUCUAACAUCUACGCGAGUGUUCGGGUGUCAAACCCGUCCGCGCAGUGAAAGCGAACGGAGGUGGGAACCCCUUACGGGGUGCACCAUCGACCGAUCCUGAUGUCUUCGGAUGGAUUUGAGUAAGAGCGUAGCUGUUGGGACCCGAAAGAUGGUGAACUAUGCCUGAAUAGGGUGAAGCCAGAGGAAACUCUGGUGGAGGCUCGCAGCGGUUCUGACGUGCAAAUCGAUCGUCAAAUUUGGGUAUAGGGGGCGAAAGACUAAUCGAACCAUCUGGUAGCUGGUUCCUGCG